rnacentral:misc_RNA from 1 species
CUUAUUUGCAGAGCUUUCUCUUCUCUCACUGUGGGUUGAUUUUCUUCCAUUAUCACUGAAAUCCGCUCCACUAUUUCUGUUUUCGAUCUCUGUGAUAUUGGAUCGGUCGAUGGCUGAAGAAGAGGAGAGGAACGGCGGCGAUGGAAGUGAAACGAGUGACUAUACAUCGGAGGACGAAGGAACGGAGGACUACAAGCGCGGAGGAUACCACGCUGUACGAAUCGGAGAUACAUUCAAACUAGGACGAUACGUUGUGCAGAG